rnacentral:rRNA from 1 species
UCACCCUCUCUUGUUAAUACCGCCUAUAUACCGCCGUCGUCAGCCUACCCUGUGAAGGUCCAGAAGUGAGCGAGAUUGGUAAAACCCAAAACGUCAGGUCAAGGUGUAGUGUAUGGGAGGGGAAGAAAUGGGCUACAUUUCCUGAUCCAGGAAAUACGAAUAAUGAACUGAAAUAAGCAUUAGAAGGUGGAUUUAGCAGUAAGCAGAAAAACAGAGUGUUUCGCUGAAGAUACGGCAAUAAAGCACGCACACAUCGCCCGUCACUCUCCCCGAGCUACCCUAAAAACAAUUUGUACCUAAAAACCCACACCUGCAAAGGGGAGGCAAGUCGUAACAUGGUAAGCGUACCGGAAGGUGCGCUUGGAAUAAU